rnacentral:rRNA from 1 species
CCAGAGUUUGAUCAUGGCUCAGGACGAACGAAAAAAAAAAAAGCUUAACACAGCAAGUCGAUCGGUAAGGCCCCUUCAAAAAUACACGAGUGGCGAACAAAAUGAGUAACACGUGGGUAAUCAGCCCUGCACUUCGGGAUAAGCCUGGGAAACCGGGUCUAAUACCGGAUAUGAGCUCCUGCAGCAUGGUGGGGGUUGGAAAGUUUUUCGGUGCAGGAUGAGUCAAAAAACUAUCAGCUUGUAGGUGGGGUAAUGGCCUACCAAGGCGACGACGGGUAAAAACCUGAGAGGGUGAUAAACCUCACUGGGACUGAGACACGGCCCAGACUCCUACGGGAGGCAGCAGUAAAAAAUAUUGCACUAUAAAAAAAAGCCUGAUGCAGCGACGAAACGUGGAAAAAUGAAAAUCUUCGGAUUGUAAAUUCCUUUCAGUAAAAACGAAGCGAAAGUGACGGUACCUGCAGAAGAAGCACCAAAAACUUCGUGCCAGCAGAAAAAGUAAUACGUAGGGUGCAAGCGUUGUCCGGAAUUACUAAAAAAUAUAGAGCUCGUAAAAAAUUUGUCACGUCAAAUGUGAAAUCCUCCAGCUCAACUGAAAAAAGUCCAGGCGAUACGGGCAGACUUGAGUACUACAGGGGAGACUAAAAUUCCUGGUGUAGAAAUCAAAUGCGCAGAUAUCAGGAGGAACAAAAAAUGGCGAAGGCAAAAAGGGUAGUAACUGUCGCUGAGGAGCGAAAGCAUGGGGAGCAAACAGGAUUAGAUACCCUGGUAGUCCAUGCCGAAAACGGUGGGCGCUAGGUGUGGGGUCCUUCCACGGAUUCCGUGCCGUAGCUAACGCAUUUAGCGCCCCGCCUGGGGAGUACGGCCGCAAGGCUAAAACUCAAAGGAAUUGACAAAAACCGGCACAAGCGGCGGAGCAUGUGGAUUAAUUCGAUGCAACGCGAAGAACCUUACCUAGGCUAGACAUAUACAGGACGACGGCAGAGAUGUCGUUUCCCUUGUGGCUUGUAUACAAAAAAAAGAUGGUUGUCGUCAGCUCGUAAAAAGAGAUGUUGGGUUAAGUCCCGCAACAAAAACAACCGCUGUCUCAUGUUGCCAGCACGUUAUGGUGGGGACUCGUGAGAGACUGCCGGGGUCAACUGGGAGGAAGGUGGGGAUGACGUCAAAUCAUCAUGCCCCUUAUGUCUAGGGCUUCACACAUCCUACAAUGGCUAGUACAGAGGGCUGCGAGACCGCGAGGUGGAGCGAAUCCCUUAAAGCUUGUCUCAGUUCGGAUUGGGGUCUGCAACUCGACCCCAUGAAGUCGGAGUCGCUAGUAAUCCCAGAUCAGCAUUGCUGCGGUGAAUACGUUCCCGGGCCUUGUACACACCGCCCGUCACGUGAUGAAAGUCGGUAACACCCGAAGCCGGUGGCCUAACCCUUGUGGAGGGAGCCGUCGAAGCUGGGAUCGGCGAUUGGGACGAAGUCGUAACAAGGUAGCCGUACCGGAAGGUGCGGCU